GGCGAACGCUGGCGGCGUGCCUAAUACAUGCAAGUUGAGCGCUGAAGGUUGGUACUUGUACCAACUGGAUGAGCAGCGAACGGGUGAGUAACGCGUGGGGAAUCUGCCUUUGAGCGGGGGACAACAUUUGGAAACGAAUGCUAAUACCGCAUAAAAACUUUAAACACAAGUUUUAAGUUUGAAAGAUGCAAUUGCAUCACUCAAAGAUGAUCCCGCGUUGUAUCAGCUAGUUGGUGAGGUAAAGGCUCACCAAGGCGAUGAUACAUAGCCGACCUGAGAGGGUGAUCGGCCACAUUGGGACUGAGACACGGCCCAAACUCCUACGGGAGGCAGCAGUAGGGAAUCUUCGGCAAUGGACGAAAGUCUGACCGAGCAACGCCGCGUGAGUGAAGAAGGUUUUCGGAUCGUAAAACUCUGUUGGUAGAGAAGAACGUUGGUGAGAGUGGAAAGCUCAUCAAGUGACGGAAACUACCCAGAAAGGGACGGCUAACUACGUG
rnacentral:rRNA from 1 species